rnacentral:rRNA from 1 species
GACGAACGCUGGCGGCGUGCCUAAUACAUGCAAGUCGAGCGAAUCAGCAGGAGCUUGCUCCUGUUGGUUAGCGGCGGACGGGUGAGUAACACGUGGGCAACCUGCCUGUAAGACUGGGAUAACACCGGGAAACCGGUGCUAAUACCGGAUAAUCCUUUUCCUCUCAUGAGGAAAAGCUGAAAGUCGGUUUCGGCUGACACUUACAGAUGGGCCCGCGGCGCAUUAGCUAGUUGGUGAGGUAACGGCUCACCAAGGCGACGAUGCGUAGCCGACCUGAGAGGGUGAUCGGCCACACUGGGACUGAGACACGGCCCAGACUCCUACGGGAGGCAGCAGUAGGGAAUCUUCCACAAUGGACGAAAGUCUGAUGGAGCAACGCCGCGUGAGCGAUGAAGGCCUUCGGGUCGUAAAGCUCUGUUGUUAGGGAAGAACAAGUACCGGAGUAACUGCCGGUACCUUGACGGUACCUAACCAGAAAGCCACGGCUAACUACGUGCCAGCAGCCGCCGUAAAAC